GAAACCCCAUCUUUUUUAAGAAACCUUGGAAACCCUAGAUUCACCCUUGAUUUGGUUUCACUUUAAUAGAUCAAUGGCUCUCCUUUUUUGGUGUAUAUAUUAGAUUUAAAUUAAUGCAUAAAGGGCAUUUUGGGUAGUAAAAAAGACUUUUUGAGCAUUGGAAAUCACAAACUCAUCUGCCAUGUUGUAAUGUCAAAUCAAAUAAGAGAUUUCAAAAUCAUAUCCCUUUUUCUCUCUCCCACUCUCUACUCACAAUUAUCACAUCUCUUUCCUCCCUCACCCCACAAACGUGAAGAAGAACAAGAAGAAGAUGGUCUCAUUUCAGAAUUAAAACAUCUACCUUCAAGAUUUCAAGAAAUACUAAUCCAGAUUCAGUUGCAGAAGACGAUGGUGGUUGCAGAUCAAAGCAUGAUUCAGUUGCAGAAGACGAUGGUGGUUGCAGAUCUGGUGGUUGGUGGAAGGUGGUGACUGGUUCAUUCUGGGGUGUUGGUGGUUGAUAGCGGCGACAGUGGGUGGUUGUAGAAGGUGGUGGAGGGUGGGUGGUUGGUGGCGCCGGAGUUCGGAACGUCGUCGGAGUCAAGAUCUAGUAAUGAAACAGAUCCAUAAAGAUAUUCAAUUGACAAGCUGGAUGGAUGUAGGCGACGUUAAUGCGGGGACAUUGAAUAAGUCAACUCUUUUGGGAAAGAAGUUUUCGUUCGUUUAUAACAUGUGUUAGUGGUUCAUGCUGUAACAGAUCCAUAAAGAAGUUUUCAUGCUGUAACAAGUUUUCGUUCGUUUCUAACAUGCUUUGCACAUUUUGGAAUGUAUAACAUGUGUUAAGCCUCUGUUA